rnacentral:rRNA from 1 species
GGGUGCCAUCAUACCACCACUAAAUCACCU